rnacentral:rRNA from 1 species
UACGUAGGGGGCAAGCGUUGUCCGGAAUCAUUGGGCGUAAAGAGCGUGUAGGCGGCUCGGUAAGUCCGCUCUGAAAGCCCGGGGCUCAACCCCGGGAGGCGGGCGGAUACUGUCGAGCUAGAGUCCGGAAGAGGCGAGUGGAAUUCCUGGUGUAGCGGUGAAAUGCGCAGAUAUCAGGAGGAACACCAAUGGCGAAGGCAGCUCGCUGGGACGGUACUGACGCUGAGACGCGAAAGCGUGGGGGGCAAACAGG